GAUGAACGCUGGCGGCGUGCCUAAUACAUGCAAGUCGAGCGAACAGACGAGGAGCUUGCUCCUCUGACGUUAGCGGCGGACGGGUGAGUAACACGUGGAUAACCUACCUAUAAGACUGGGAUAACUUCGGGAAACCGGAGCUAAUACCGGAUAAUAUAUUGAACCGCAUGGUUCAAUAGUGAAAGACGGUUUUGCUGUCACUUAUAGAUGGAUCCGCGCCGCAUUAGCUAGUUGGUAAGGUAACGGCUUACCAAGGCAACGAUGCGUAGCCGACCUGAGAGGGUUACCGGCCACACUGGAACUGAGACACGGUCCAGACUCCUACGGGAGGCAGCAGUAGGGAAUCUUCCGCAAUGGGCGAAAGCCUGACGGAGCAACGCCGCGUGAGUGAUGAAGGUCUUCGGAUCGUAAAACUCUGUUAUUAGGGAAGAACAAAUGUGUAAGUAACUAUGCACGUCUUAACGGUACCUAAUCAGAAAGCCACGGCUAAGUACGUG
rnacentral:rRNA from 1 species